UUGGUUCUCAAUGUUAUCAGCGCGUAUGCCCCGCAAGUAGGCCACAAUGAGAACACCAAGAGGGAGUUCUGGGAAGGCCUGGAAGACAUGGUUAGGAGUGUACCGAUUGGUGAGAAGCUCUUCAUAGGAGGAGACCUCAAUGGCCACGUGGGUACAUCUAACACAGGUUUUGAAGGGGCGCAUGGGGGCUUUGGCUAUGGCAUCAGGAAUCAAGAAGGAGAAGAUGUCUUAAGCUUUGCUCUAGCCUACAACAUGAUUGUAGCCAACACCCUCUUUAGAAAGAGAGAAUCACAUCUGGUGACUUUUAGUAGUGGCCAACACUCUAGCCAGAUUGAUUUCAUCCUCUCGAGAAGGGAACACAGGCGUGCGUGCCUAGACUGUAAGGUGAUACCUGGAGAGAGUGUUGUACCCCAGCAUAAGCUGGUGGUUGCUGACUUCCGCUUUCGGAUUCGUGUCCAGCGGGAUAAGUGGGCUAAAGUCGCUAGAACGAAGUGGUGGAAGCUCAAGGGGGAGGUAGCUCAGGCGUUCAAGGAGAGGUUCAUUAAGGAGGGCCCUUGGGAGGAAGGAGGGGAUGCGGACAAUGUGUGGAUGAAG
rnacentral:rRNA from 1 species